UGUAGAAUAAGCUAAGAAUAAGCUAUUGGGUUCAUACCCCAAAAAUGGACAUGAGUUCUUCUACAA
rnacentral:tRNA from 1 species